AGAUUGAACGCUGGCGGCAGGCCUAACACAUGCAAGUCGAGCGGUAGAGAGGUGCUUGCACCUCUUGAGAGCGGCGGACGGGUGAGUAAUGCCUAGGAAUCUGCCUAGUGGUGGGGGAUAACGUUCGGAAACGGACGCUAAUACCGCAUACGUCCUACGGGAGAAAGCGGGGGACCUUCGGGCCUCGCGCCAUUAGAUGAGCCUAGGUCGGAUUAGCUAGUUGGUGAGGUAAUGGCUCACCAAGGCGACGAUCCGUAACUGGUCUGAGAGGAUGAUCAGUCACACUGGAACUGAGACACGGUCCAGACUCCUACGGGAGCAGCAGUGGGAAUAUUGGACAAUGGGCGAAAGCCUGAUCCAGCCAUGCCGCGUGUGUGAAGAAGGUCUUCGGAUUGUAAAGCACUUUAAGUUGGAGAAGGUUGUAACUUAAUACGUUGCAACUUUGACGUUACCGACAGAAUAAGCACCGGCUAACUCGUGCCAGCAGCCG
rnacentral:rRNA from 1 species